CCUACGGGUGGCAGCAGUGAGGAAUAUUGGUCAAUGGACGAGAGUCUGAACCAGCCAAGUAGCGUGAAGGAUGACUGCCCUAUGGGUUGUAAACUUCUUUUAUAAGGGAAUAAAAUGAUCCACGUGUGGCAUUUUGCAUGUACUUUAUGAAUAAGGAUCGGCUAACUCCGUGCCAGCAGCCGCGGUAAUACGGAGGAUCCGAGCGUUAUCCGGAUUUAUUGGGUUUAAAGGGAGCGUAGGUGGGUUGUUAAGUCAGUUGUGAAAGUUUGCGGCUCAACCGUAAAAUUGCAAUUGAAACUGGCAGUCUUGAGUACAGUAGAGGUAGGCGGAAUUCGUGGUGUAGCGGUGAAAUGCUUAGAUAUCACGAAGAACUCCGAUUGCGAAGGCAGCUCACUAGACUGUGACUGACACUGAGGCUCGAAAGUGUGGGUAUCAAACAGGAUUAGAUACCCUUGUAGUC
rnacentral:rRNA from 1 species